GACAGAGGGUGCAAACGUUGCUCGGAAUCACUGGGCGUAAAGGGCGUGUAGGCGGGAAUGUAAGUCGGGCGUGAAAGCCCUGGGCUCAACCUGGGAACUGCAGUGGAUACUGGCGGACUAGAGUGUGAUAGAGGAUGGUGGAAUUCCCGGUGUAGCGGUGAAAUGCGUAGAGAUCGGGAGGAACACCAGUGGCGAAGGCGGCCAUCUGGAUCAACACUGACGCUGAGGCACGAAAGCGUGGGGAGCAAACAGG
rnacentral:rRNA from 1 species